GUGGCUGCACGUUGUAGGAUGUUACGCCAAUGCACGUUUUGACCUGUUCGCAAUUUGCUUCUAUGUAUAGGAAGAUUGGUAGAAAUCGACAAGGUAAGUCACUGCAGAGCCGGAUAUCUGGCCUCACUUCUACAAUUUUUUUAACAUGUGAGUUUGUAAGACCUCCCAAAUUAUACGAUGAAUAUGUUUCCACUUAAAAAAAAAGAUCAGUACAGAGUUGAACUAAAUUAAUCCUAUUGAAGACAA
rnacentral:lncRNA from 1 species